rnacentral:rRNA from 1 species
UACGACUCUCGGCAACGGAUAUCUCGGCUCUCGCCACGAUGAAGAACGUAGCGAAAUGCGAUACCUAGUGUGAAUUGCAGAAUCCCGUGAAUCAUCGAGUCUUUGAACGCAAGUUGCGCCCGAGGCCUCGGCCAAGGGCACGUCUGCUUGGGCGUCGCAUUGGACCAAGCGCCCCUUGCCCGCGCCCGGGCACUGGAGCGGAGCUGGCCGUCCGCGCCCCCCGUGGCUCGGUUGGCUAAAACGGUUUUCGGAUGCCCGUCGUCUCGCGCCGGUGAGCGGUCGUUUGGCCGCCUCCGGGCGGCAGGCCCGCGUGCGCCGGUGCGAGAAGCAGGCGGCGUUCCCUUCGCAGCCCCUCUGCCCGUCGUGCCGCGGCUCUCGGGCGGCGGACCACGGCGGGGCCCGUUGCGCGCGACCCC